CAGUUUCUAGAUCUAAAUCAGUUCUCAGAUCCAGAGCCCAUUGCUUGAAGAAACUGGAUUCCAUUGAAAGUUAGCUCUGGAAUGCCACCACAAGUGUACAAGUAUUCCAUCAAUUCUUUGCCCAAGGAAUUCUGUGUUCAUUUACUGGAAAUGUAUACUGGGGAGCCAUAAGAGGCCACAGAUUUAAGGUCCAAGCUGAAGCCCAGAGAGACUCAAUGUGAUCUUGAUUCUCCAGAACAGGGGCCAGAUAAGUGACAUAUAGCUUAAGGCAGUCUGAGUCCAAUGGGUCCAAAGACAGACCCUGAUCUCCCUGCCCCCAUGAAGUGUUGUUUCAAGUUCCUCAGUUCCACUUAGGAUGGAUAGACUGAAUCUGGCAGGACUCUUAGUUGGUUUCUUGGCCUGAGUUUAGGGCAUGAGGAGGAGCAACUUUAGGGGCUUGGACAUAGUGCUUCCUAAAAUACUGGUUCCGAGUAACAUUAAAUUCUUCUAUCACUUAGGAUGGGAACUUCUAGCACUGGAUCCUUUAUCACAUUUACAAUCUCCGUACAAAUAUGCAUCAUGGCAAAUAUUGACAGAUAAUAUAGAUCCGAUAUCCCCAAUUGUAUCUGCUUUGCUAGAUGCAGCAUCUUCAAUAUCAAUUUGAUGUUCACUUCACAGAGCUUAAAGUACUAAAGAAGUCUAGCAAACAUGUUCUUUCCAGUCUGAUUAAAGGUAGUUUAUACUUACAUGGGAAGAAUAGUACAACUUCACAGCCUUGCGAGUCUUAAUUCUCCUGCUUUCACUAUGUAGACUACAGGAAUUUUUAAUUUUUAUUUUCAUUUAUGAGAUGGAGUUUCACUCUUGUUGCCCAGGCUGGAGUACAGUGGCACUAUCUCAGCUCACUGCAACCUCUGUCUCCUGGGUUCAAUAGUGAUUACCUUGCCUCAGCCUCCCAAGUAGCUGGGAUUACAGGUGCCCACCACCAUGCCAGGCUGAUUUUUAUGUUUUUAGUAGAUACAGGGUUUUACCAUGUUGGCCAGGCUGGUCUUGAACUCCUGACCUCAGGUGAUCCACCCGCCUUGGCCUCCUAAAGUGUUGGGAUUACAGGUGUGAGCCACCACGCCAGCCAACUAUGGUAAUCUUGACCACAUUUGUACAAGACACUAUACUGAUCCUCCAUAUUGAAGAUGUCAUGCUAAUCGGAUCUGAUAAAAAGGAGUGUCAAGUUCUCUGCCUGCCCUAGAAAGACACACAUGCCAAGGGAGAGGAACCCUACAAAAAUUCAGGACGUUCUCAUAUUUGAGACUGAUUCUAGUCACGUGAUACAUUUCAUAACAUCCCUAAAGGUUAGCAACUGAUUAAUGGCACAAGACAGUACAAGAUGCAGUAAAGAAAGUACAAGAUUCAGUGAGUUAUCAGGUUAUGGUGAAGGCUUUUUGUUUCAAAUGGGGCCCAAAGCAAACAAGCUGCAUAAGAAAUUUAGAUCGUGCCAUCUGUUCUUUCACUUUGUCCAUGUAACAACCAGUUCGAUGUUGCAGAGAUCUUUUGUACUAAUGGUGGCAUAUGGAGAUGAGUAAGCCACAGUAUGACCCCCCCACUCAAGUUUCUGGAAAAAAGUCGUAACACCUGUAACAGAUUUAGUCAUAAGACACCUAAUAUACUCCUGGGUCCUUGCAGAGACAGAAAACUGGCUUUGGGUCAUCAAGUGACUAUCUAGAGCUGUCCAUUUUGAGCUAAAUUUGGACAGACUCAAAUCAUAAGGUUGGGUGGGCACAAUAAAAGUCACUCAAAUGGACACAUUACAUUGAGUGGAUUAUGAGGUCUUGAGGGCACACACACACAAGCAGGCAUCCAGACCUUAUGUCACCUGCCUUUUUACCCAUCCCACUCAGUUCAUACCUAUUGUCUCAGAUGAAAGUUUCCUACAGUCAAACGUCACCUACCUUUUUAUCCAUUCCACUCAGUUCAUACCUAUUUUCUCAGGCGUAAGUUUCCUGAAGUCUAACAGGAGGGGAAAACCCAACUCUAAUUUCAGAUGUGUCAGACCAUUGAAGGUGCUGUUGCUACAUUACAGCUCCGUUAGGGAAACAAUCCCUGAAGAACAGUGAUAAGGGGAAGUUCUACUGGACAGAGCUUCAAACAGUAUCUAAGUUAGUUUUGUAGAGAGGUGACCUGAGGUGAGGAUAUGUAGAGACUUCCAGGCAGAGGGCUUUGCUUCAGGUGCCUGGAAGGAAUGAGAUGGGAUGAAUGGAUACCAAGGUCUGGGAAGGAACAAGUAGUUGGAACUAUAAGAGUGACAAUCAUCUGUCUCAUGUCACUUGGAAGUCAUCCAAGGAUAGCAACAGGUUGACACCUGUCCUUUUGAAGCCAGUCAGCCUCUGCCCUUGACUAUUUUAGUGCUUCAAGUGACCCAUAAAUGAAAUAUUAACAGUGGCAGGAAUGGAAGCUAUGCAUGGACCUGACAGCAUGAACUUUAACCAAGACACUUUCAGCUACUGCCACUGCUGAAUAACCUAUAAGCAGCAAAAGUUUAUAUCUUUAUAGGGAACCCUAUAGCACCAUUACUCAGUAAGAUUGAACAGCCUCUUGGAUACAAGUUGAAUACUGGAUUCCUUCUACCCUAGGAGCAGCAGUGAUUCAUCUUUAUUGGAAAUAUUUGAAAUAUGGGCUCACUUCUUCCCAAUGUUUUGGCCAGCAGCACUGUGAGGACUCAGAUUUACUAAAGUUACAUGAAAUAUCACUUAUGUAGCAUUUUCUCUAAGGAAUCAAUUCUAUCGUGAAUAGCUACAGAACAGGCACAUGAUGAAGGGAGCUACUGGUCCCACCAGAUUAAAGAUCUGAAAGCCCAACGAGAUAUUAAAAUGGUCUCUUAAAAAGGUAAGACACCAAAGAGCCAACUUGGACACAAUUCUGCAACCCUGAACCACAAAUGAAUUAUAUACUUAAAACCAAUGGCUAUUAUGAAGGCCUGUUCCCAAUAACUACAUUUUGUGGGGCUUGGAGGCAAGUUAUAGAAGGAAUAUCCCCUUCCUACCAUACUAGACCAAUCUGAAGUAUUUGUACUUCUUUACCAUAUACACCUUUAAGUUCUGUUGGACUUGAACUUCUGGUUCCCUGGAAGGGAAGUGAAAGGAAUGUCUCUGCAGGAGGCACAGUGAGGUGUCUACUAAAUCUGAACUGAUGGUAGACCAGCAGGCAAAAGGAAGGACUUAGUAUGUUGGGAGGAAUAGCUGACCAUUAUAUAAGGUUGCUGCUGCAUACUGGGGAUAAGUUUGUCCAGAAAACACAGGAUGCUUCUUGGUGUACCUGUUUUGGAUAACUCAAUAGGUAUUUGCAGUGACUAUAAGGAAGGAAGACAUAUCAGGGCCCAAUUCCUUUGAACAGUAGUCUUUGGGUUAUCCCAACAGGCAAGCAACACAGACCAGGAAAAGUACAGACAGGAAAUAAAUGGAGUGUGAAGUGGGUGAGGGUAAUGGAGGGAGAUUAGUAUUAGUUAUGACAUCAGGACAAACUUGAAAAACGGAUUGCAGCUCAUCCCAUUCAUCCUGUUGUAAUUUUGUUAAGCAUCUGAUGCUUCUCUCAGUAUACCAGUUUUAAAGAUGUAAGUGACAGGGGCAGCCUGUCGAGUCUCAGACUAGGGUGUCAAUGUCAGAAACAGAUUUCAGGUCCAGACUUAAUUUUAAAGGUGGCCAUGAAAAUAAGUCAGAAUCUCCUUCCUAAGUCUGCUUGGUUACCACUUAGGUUGGUGCAAGAGUAACUGCAGUUGUUGCCCUUAUUUUUGCUGGCAAGAACUAUGAAAGUACUGUGUAUGAAGUUAUGUAAUACUAUUUUUAUUCAAUACUAUUUAAAAUAUGUAUAAUACUAUGUGAAAAGGAAAAAAAUGCAAAGUAGUUUGUGACAUGGUUCAAAUUCAUGUUGAAUAAUGACAUUCUCUAGAAAAGCUACCACCAUGGUUUAGCAACAGCAUUAUAUUAGGUUUUGCUCACUUGGGUGGGGUGCUAUUAAAGCCAUUCUCUAUGUAAGAUUCGUUUGAGUUUCUGGAAGUACAAUUGCUGGUUCAAAGGAUGUAGAGAUUUAGUUGUCACAGCAAGUCAUCUAGACAUUUGUCCCUUUCAUGUCUUUGAUUAUCAAGUUCUACUAGGCCAUCAGCACAUCUCCAAUUAACUAGUGGUGAGAUAGUCACUAGCAAGACUUGACUUCCCUUCCACACUUAAAGUCAAACACUGGUCGAUAAGGUCUAUAAAUCUUGGUAGAACCAAGUAGAUAAAUGGGCCAAUGAUGGAACUAAGUUCACAAGUAGAACAAGAUAUGAGUAUCUUUGCAUCCUUGUCAACACAAAAAUUAUCUUAAUGAACUCAAGUCAAGUACCUUGUUAGAAGUCAGUCCAUGCUCUUAGAUUUAAACCCAGGUCAGUGACUGGUUACUGGCAACUGCACAAAUCCUGAUCUUGAACCUUUGCAUUUCAGCCUGACUGCCAUAUCUAUUAAAUGAGUCAGUCAAUUAAUAUUUCACCUUCUCUGAAGGAGCAAGACACUCAAAGUCAGGGUCAAACAGUGUGCCAGAAACUGCUAGUGGUUGCCUCAAUGUUUAUUCUUUUCUUCUGUCGUAACAUUUAUUCUGGGCACAGAGAUGAUAUAGGCCCCAUCAAACUCCUUUGCAUUUUGUAUUCUGCAUAUCCCCUCCUCAAUCAUUGCCUAGCCCCUAGAUGGCCAAUUCCGAAAAACUAAUGAGUUGAGAUCAUGAAAGGGGACUUAUGCUUUCAUUAUGUAGAUAAAGACGCUUCAGGACAUUCCUGAAACCAGAGGUAAGUAAUCUAACUUUUGCUAACUCUAGCUUUUUGUCUCCUUUCCCAGAAAAUGGCCACUAGCUUUCAAGAUAUCAAGGGACUGAAACUGACUACUGACCAGACUCCAUGGCACCAAGAUCUUCCAUUUGUCAUGGAGGCUUGACACCUGUUAUUAGUCUACCUGCUGGUCCCCUGACCCUCACCCUCCAACACAACUCACAUGUAAUCCCAGUCUCCACAUAUAGCUGUAUUCCUUAUCCCUCCUUAAGAGCCCCAACUCUAGUUAGAGGGGCAGAUUUGAGACUUAUUUUCCCAUCUCCCAGGUGAGGUCACCCGCAGUGAAGCCUUUCUUCCCUGACAAUACUUGUCUCAGCAAUACUCACUGGCAUUCUGUGCCUCAAGCAAUGGAACGCUGGCCAACCCCCUUUGGAUGGGUAAUAACUAAAGACUACCCUUUUUAUAGCUGCAUGCAGCUAGCCAUAGCCACUAGGCACUGGUUAAUGUAUCUCUAAACACAAAUUGAGUCAUUCCCUGAAUGUAUGCUUUUCCUUUCUUCACUCCCGGUUUGGUAGACUUGUAACAGAUAAAAGCAAGAAAAGUUAUUUUGGACCAUCAAGGUAGAAAAUUUCUGGAUCAGUACACCUCAGAUCAUCUGUAUCAGAUUGCAUUGCUCAUGUUUGGACUGUUAGAGAAAAGAAAGUUCUCCUUCUAAGCUGCUAUAAGGUUUGUCUAUUAGUAAACCAUCUUGGCUACUAUAACGAGUCCAUCUUCCAGGAAAUGAGGAAAAUGUGGAACCCUCUCUCCUCCAGGGGCAAAACUCUGAACAGACAGGCUGAAUUAAAUAUUACAAGUUGGGAGAUUGCCACCAAAAUCCUGUUUAGCAUACACCGAUUCCAUCUGAGAAUAUAUCUUGGGAAUGGAUCUCUUAUUAGGCUUGACCCUCUAAAAUGGCAACUGGGAAAUUCUGACCAGGAGUUAGGGUGGUGAAGCAUAUGAUCAUGGUAAACAUGAAAUGGUUUAAAUGGUACAGUUGCCAGCCCUGCAGUGAGUAGGGUAUUGCUGCAGCACUGAAGCAAUACCACCUGCUGGGAAGGCAUGAUGAAAUCCCAGAGACAAGGAGUUAACCCGGGUAGGCAUAAGGCCAGUACACAGCCCACACAACGGCCCUGUAUGGGCAGUGUAGAAGCCUGAUGAGACAUGGAGGAUGAUAGAUUACUAGGAAUUAAAUAAGCCACUCUCUCUCCCCAACCCACCCACCAUAUAUGCAGCUGUUUCCAAUAUUACCACCCUCCUGAAGGGGCUAGGAGAGGUGCUUGGCUCAUACCAUUUUGUUAUUUAGCCAAAGCCUUCUUCAGCACCCCCAAUGCCCCAUUUGCAUUCACUUGGGAAGGAAAACAAUGGACCUUUGCCAUCUUUCCCCAAGGAUGGUUACAUAGCCUCAUUGUCACAGUCUAGUGGCCACAGACCUCAGUGAAUGGACCACUCUGGAGGGUACUUGUUCUCCAUCACAUGGAGAACAUCAUGCUAACUUCCAAGUCUUUUACAAGCUUACAAGCCGCAGCCCUCACCUUGCUCUUACUUGGCAAACAGGAUGGAGAGUCAAUGCAAAGUCCAGGUUCCACAAAUACUUGGCUGUCAUCUUGUCGGGUAAGGCUCAAGUCAUUCUGCCUGCCAUUAUGGAUAGGGUGCAGGCCUACCCAUGUCCUAUCAGUGAAGCAGUUGCAAACCUUCUCGGGCCUCCUAGGGUAUUGGAGUCCUUUUAUUCCCCAUUUGGCCCAAUUCCUUAGGCCCCUAAUACAGCUUAAUUAAGAAGAGGGCCUACUGGGACUGGUCCCACAAGGGAGAAUGAAGCCUUUGAAUAAGUCUCUGAAAUACAAGCUUUGGGAGUUCUAGGGCAGGGACAGCCUUAUGAAUUGGAUGUAGCCAGAUACCUGAGGGGUUUGGGUAUAAACUAUGGCAAACGCAAGGACAAAAAUAUGUGCCUUUAGGAUUCUGGUCCCAACUACAGAAGUGGGUGAAGUUAUACAUAGUGUCAUAGAGUAACAACUCUGCACUAUGAUGUUAUGCCUUACAAUAAGUGGAGGACAUUACUAAAGGGCUCCCAGUGCUAUUAUACACCCAAGUAUCCUAUAGUAGGUUGGCUAAAGGAUCUUCCAGAAACCAAAGCCUGGGAAUGCCCAGACACAGACUGGCCAAGUGGGACGCAUACCUGUAACAGGAGCACAUUGGCUAAUAGGCCUUUGAGUGCCGACCUCCAUUUGGGGCUUGGCCCUGUCACCUAUGUGACAACUGAAGAUUGUUGACAGAGGUCUACUGGCCCUCCAGAUGCCCCCUUUUGUACAAGAGGGACAGGACCCAGUGCCUGACCAGGACUAGUACAUAGAUGGCUCAUCACAAGGCAAUCCUUACACUUGGACAGCCAUAGCCACCCAGCCGUCCACUGAUAGUAUCUGGCUUCAUACUGGUAAAGGACAUAGUAGCCAAAGGGCUGAGCUGCAAGCUGCCUGGAUGGUCCUGAGGCAGACCUAGUAGCCUUGUGCACCAAUAGCUGGGUCAUCUUCCAGGGCCUCAGCAUGUGGCUACUACAAUAUGAAGUGCAGGAUUAGAUGGUAGUGGGCCAUCCCUUUUGGAGUGCUGACACAUAGAAGGAUGUUUUCCAUUGCAUCUGGGGGAUACAUAAUGGUCCAUCAUGUGGAUGCCCACACCACAUCUACACCACCUGGAAAACCAGCAGAGGAGUUUGCCAUCAUUCAUUGAGGAAGUCACAGAAGAUGUAACCCUCUGGCUAUGUAGGACAGGACAUUGGGGACAACAUAUCCUUGGGCCAUAGAGUUGAGGCCUGCCACUACGAGGUGAAGACAUAUUAUAUGCCUCUUAGUGUCUUACCCUAGCACAACAACACCCCGAGCUCUUGCCACAUGACCAGACAGGCCGCCUAGGGUCGGAUCCCAGUGCAAUGGUGGGAGAUAGGCUACAUAGAACCUUUGUCUCUUGAGGCUGCCAUCAUGCCUUGACUUUUGCAGACGUCUACAUGGGGCUACUGCAGGUAUAUUCCAGCAAGCAUGCCAGAAAGAUAACUACCAUAAAAGGAUGAGCAGCUAUGUACAGCCUACAAUGCCCCAGCAGUAACCAGGGCAUGCACCUUGAUCGAUAAGGUGCAGAAAAGAGAGGAGUCCCUGGAUAUACACUGGCAUUUCCACCAGUUGUACAAUGCUACUACAGUAGGGCCGAUUGAAUGGAUUAUGGAAGCAACUCCAGGAGACACUCUGGCUCUGGACACACUGCUUACCAGUUGCCAUCUGCACCCUAAAUAUGUGAAUUCUCAUCUCUGGCACAUGUAGACUGAUGCAAGGAACUGAUCUCACUAU
rnacentral:lncRNA from 10 species